rnacentral:rRNA from 1 species
CCCGAAGAGUUUGAUCAUGGCUCAGAUUGAACGCUGGCGGCAGGCCUAACACAUGCAAGUCGAGCGGAAACGAUGGAAGCUUGCUUCCAGGCGUCGAGCGGCGGACGGGUGAGUAAUGCGCAGGAAUUUGCCCAGCAGUGGGGGAUAGCCCGGAGAAAUUCGGAUUAAUACCGCAUAUACCCUACGGGGGAAAGCUCUUGCUGUUGGAUGAGCCUGCGUCGGAUUAGCUAGUUGGUAGGGUAAAGGCCUACCAAGGCGACCUCCCGUAGCUGGUCUGAGAGGAUGAUCAUCCACACUGGAACUGAGACACGGUCCAGACUCCUACGGGAGGCAGCAGUGGGGAAUAUUGGACAAUGGGCGCAAGCCUGAUCCAGCCAUGCCGCGUGUGUGAAGAAGGCUCUAGGGUUGUAAAGCACUUUAAGUUGGGAGGAAAGGUUGAAGUUUAAUACGCUUUAGCUGUGACGUUACCAACAGAAUAAGCACCGGCUAACUCCGUGCCAGCAGCCGCGGUAAUACGGAGGGUGCAAGCGUUAAUCGGAAUUACUGGGCGUAAAGCGCGCGUAGGUGGUUAGAUAAGUUGGAUGUGAAAGCCCCGGGCUUAACCUGGGAACUGCAUUCAAAACUGUCUAGCUAGAGUACGAUAGAGGGGGGUAGAAUUUCAGGUGUAGCGGUGAAAUGCGUAGAGAUCUGAAGGAAUACCAGUGGCGAAGGCGGCCCUGGAUUGAUACUGACACUGAGGUGCGAAAGCGUGGGUAGCAAACAGGAUUAGAUACCCUGGUAGUCCAUGCCGUAAACGAUGUCAACUAGCCGUUGGAAGACUUGAUCUUUUAGUGGCGCAGCUAACGCAAUAAGUAGACCGCCUGGGGAGUACGGUCGCAAGAUUAAAACUCAAAUGAAUUGACGGGGGCCCGCACAAGCGGUUGAGCAUGUGGUUUAAUUCGACGCUACGCGAAGAACCUUACCUACUCUUGUCAUCCAGAGAACUCGCUAGAGAUAGCUUGGUGCCUUCGGGAACUCUGUGACAGGUGCUGCAUGGCUGUCGUCAGCUCGUGUUGUGAAAUGUUGGGUUAAGUCCCGGAACGAGCGCAACCCUUAUCCUUAGUUACCAGCGGGUUAUGCCGGGGACUCUAGGGAAACUGCCGGUGACAAACCGGAGGAAGGCGGGGACGACGUCAAGUCAUCAUGGCCCUUACGAGUAGGGCUACACACGUGCUACAAUGGCAUGUACAAAGGGUUGCCAAGCCGCGAGGUGGAGCUAAUCCCAUAAAGCAUGUCUUAGUCCGGAUUGGAGUCUGCAACUCGACUCCAUGAAGUCGGAAUCGCUAGUAAUCGUGAAUCAGAAUGUCACGGUGAAUACGUUCCCGGGCCUUGAACACACCGCCCGUCACACCAUGGGAGUUGUUUGCACCAGAAGUAGCUAGCUUAACCUUCGGGAGGACGAUUACCACGGUGUGGUUCAUGACUGGGGUGAAGUCGGCACAAGGUAACCAAGGG